GCCGAUGUGGUGAAAUUGGUAGACACGACGGAUUCAAAAUCCGUUUCAUUAUGGAGUGACGGUUCAUGUCCGUCCAUCGGUACCA
rnacentral:tRNA from 1 species